UUAAUACUGAUAGGAGUUCUUUUCUGGAAAGAAAGUACUUUCAAAUUCGUGCUCAAGGAUGAGACUGCGGCUGAUUAGCUAGUUGGCGGGGUAAAGGCCCACCAAGGCAUCGAUCAGUAAGGGCCCUUAGCGGGGUAGCCCUGAGAGGGAAUCUGAGACACUAUUCCCAGCUCUACGGAGUGCAGCAGCUAUGAAUCUUCUGCAAUGCGCGCAAGCGUGACAGAGCGAACCAAAGUGAUUAUCUUUUUGAUAAUCUUUUGCCAGCUGUAAAAAGGCUGGCGAAUAAGGACUGGGUAAGAUCGGUGCCAGCCGCCGCGGUAAUCCCGACAGUUCAAGUCGCAAUCAACAUUAUUGGGUCUAAAACAUCCGUAGCUUGUCUAGUAAGUCUUUUGUCAAAUCCUGCAUCUCAAGUGUAGGGCGAGCAGAGGGUACUACUAGGCUAGAGAUCGGUAGGUGUAAGAAGUACGUUCAAGGUAGUAGUAAAAUACGUUAAUCUUGAAUGGACUCACAAUUAGCGAAGGCAUCUUACAAGGACGAAUCUGACAGUGAGGGAUGAAGGCCAAGGGCGCAAAAGGGAUUAGAUACCCCUGUAGUCUCGGCAGUUAACACUGCUCACUAAACAU
rnacentral:rRNA from 1 species